GGUUUGGUCGCCCUGACGAAGGGCGCCAAGAGGGAAGCCGGUGCGAGUCCGGCGCAGUCCCGCUGCUGUAAGCUCCAACGAACUGAAAGCCCAAUUUUAACGUCACUGUGUGCUGCCAUAAGUACAUGGGAAGACAGGGCCGACGGGGAGCAAGCCAGAAUACCUGCCAAACCC
rnacentral:ncRNA from 1 species